rnacentral:misc_RNA from 1 species
GAAAUGCGAUAAGUAAUGUGAAUUGCAGAAUUCAGUGAAUCAUCGAAUCUUUGAACGCACCUUGCGCUCCUUGGUAUUCCUUGGAGCAUGCCUGUUUGAGUAUCAUGAAAUCUUCAAAGUAAAUCUUUUGUUAACUCAAUUGGUUUCUACUUUGGUAUUGGAGGUCUUUGCAGCUUCACACCUGCUCCUCUUUGUUCAUUAGCUGGAUCUCAGUGUUAUGCUUGGUUCCACUCGGCGUGAUAAGUUAUCUAUCGCUGAGGACACUGUAAAAGGUGGCCAAGGUAAAUGCAGAUGAACCGCUUCUAAUAGUCCAUUGACUUGGACAAUACUUUUAUGAUCUGAUCUCAAAUCAGGUAGGACUACCCGCUGAACUU